UACGAAGGGUGCAAACGUUGCUCGGAAUUAUUGGGCGUAAAGCGCACGUAGGCGGCGCUGCAAGUCGGAUGUGAAAUCCCUCGGCUUAACCAAGGAAGUGCAUCCGAAACUGCAGUGCUUGAGUACUUAAGAGGAUCGCGGAAUUCCCGGUGUAGAGGUGAAAUUCGUAGAUAUCGGGAAGGAACACCAGUGGCGAAGGCGGCGAUCUGGGAAGAUACUGACGCUGAGGUGCGAAAGCGUGGGGAGCAAACAGG
rnacentral:rRNA from 1 species